AUUGAACGCUGGCGGCAGGCCUAACACAUGCAAGUCGAGCGAGCGGCGGACGGGUGAGUAAUGUCUGGGAACUGCCUGAUGGAGGGGGAAAACUACUGGAAACGGUAGCUAAUACCGCAUACAAUCAGCUGUGCCCAGAUGGGAUUAGCUAGUAGGUGGGGUAACGGCUCACCUAGGCGACGAUCCCGAGCUGGUCUGAGAGGAGGACCAGCCAACAUGGAAUGGAUACACGGUCCAGACUUCUACGGGAGGCUGCAGUGGGGAAUAUUGCACAAUGGGCGCAAGCCUGAUGCAGCCAUGCCGCGGGUGUGAAGAAGGCCUUCGGUUUGUAAAGCACUUGCAGCGGGGAGGCGGUACCCGCAGAUGAAGCACCGGCUAACUCCGUGCCAGCAGCCGCGGUAAUUC
rnacentral:rRNA from 1 species